rnacentral:rRNA from 1 species
GUAGGGAAUCUUGCGCAAUGGGCGAAAGCCUGACGCAGCCAUGCCGCGUGAAUGAUGAAGGUCUUAGGAUUGUAAAAUUCUUUCACCGGGGACGAUAAUGACGGUACCCGGAGAAGAAGCCCCGGCUAACUUCGUGCCAGCAGCCGCGGUAAUACGAAGGGGGCUAGCGUUGCUCGGAAUUACUGGGCGUAAAGGGAGCGUAGGCGGAUAGUUUAGUCAGAGGUGAAAGCCCAGGGCUCAACCUUGGAAUUGCCUUUGAUACUGGCUAUCUUGAGUAUGGAAGAGGUAUGUGGAACUCCGAGUGUAGAGGUGAAAUUCGUAGAUAUUCGGAAGAACACCAGUGGCGAAGGCGACAUACUGGUCCAUUACUGACGCUGAGGCGCGAAAGCGUGGGGAGCAAACAGGAUUAGAUACCCGAGUAGUCC